rnacentral:lncRNA from 1 species
GUGUGUCAACAUGAUUUCAGCAAAAGGGCUAGUAUUUGCGUUGGCGCUGGUCUCAUUUCAGGUCGAGGGCCUACCCAAACAAGCGGAUGGAUCCGAGAAAAAAACCUCCCAGGUGGAUUAUCUCCCAGGGAUGAAAAAGACGAGAAGAUCCAAUCGCUCGCCAAUUUCUCCUUCUCCGCUGUGAAAACUUCCCUAGGAAGUAAUGACGAACUCAUACUGGUUAAAGUUACCGAGGCUUACUCUCAGGGUUUAUCAAAUGGAGACGACCAAGAUCCACCAGUCCUAGGUGGGAAAAAACCAAUGAGUGUUGACGACGCAAAGAUCCUUUCACUUUCCAAAGUGGCCCUCGCUAAUUUGGAAACCUCUGCAGGAGGGAAUGAUAAACUUAGUCUAGUUAAAAUCCACGAAGCCUACACACAGGUUGUUGCCGGUACGAAAUAUUAUUUGACCAUGGAAGUGUCUAACAGUAAAGGUGAAUCGAAAAAGUGUGAGGUGCAAAUCGUUGAGCAACUAUGGAUCUCUCCAGACCCCAAAGUCACUUCAGCCAGUUGCGAAAACAAACCACUUGCCGUUUAAUAAAGAAGCCUAUCAUUAAACUGAUUUCAAACAAUGUCACGAUUCAACUUUUUCCAAACAAGAACACGUACGAUAGCUAUAUUGACAGGGUAUUCUUUCACUUUAAACCCGGAGCCCUUUUUAUUGAUAAAAAUACAACCAUAUAAACAUGUCACUGGAAAGUCAUAGGCGUCAUUUGAAAAAUAAUAUCCCCAACAAUUAUUUUUGCACAGCUUGGCAGUUGGCACACAACGAGUUCAUUUAACUUUGCAGUUAAUCAAACAGUCUCAGUUGAUUAUUGAUGAUCUAUAGUUCGUCUCGCCAAGCGGUAAGGGUUCACUGGAAAUAUCAGAUCAACAAACAGCCAAAAUUCAUCGAAGUCGGAAGUUUAUCAAAAGUUGGAGGUUCAUCAAAGCCACGACCAAUAUUCUCCAGUUUCUGAGACUUUCGAUAGGCGUAUACUCAAUCCUGAUAUGUAAUCAACUCUUGAAUUUUCUUAUCUCAAGUUUUUCGAUAAAUAAUGCCUUUUUUGGGUGUUUCCUCUCUAUCAAAGCAUUUUUGCCUCAAAUUAUUUUAUUAUGCACUAGUUUUAUCGUUUUCCCUACCUCUAACUUUACCCGAAAUAUCGUGGCUAUAUGGGACCCGAUACAGAUGUAGUGCCCGAUGUUGAGUGUCAAAUUUUUGAAAUUUUCGAAAUUCAAAAGAUAGCUCGGUCUUAAAAGUCAAAUGAUACAUCGUCAUCUCCUGGACGAGCGUAUGCCUUCAUUUCAACAAAGCCAAAUUCCGUUUCACAGUUUUUAUUUUCCUUCGAAAACUAGCAGACGUAUUUUUGGAAAAUUUCACAGGUUUUUUCGUGGAUUGUCGUAAAAACUCAGCGAAGUUUCGGACAGAAAUUGUGCUGUCACUCAUGUGCAUGUGAAAAAAAGUAGUUUGUAACCUACCUAUAUGGAAGCAGCAAUAAAUGUAAUCUAGAGUUUCGAUUUUUGUUCUUCCAACUGUAAGUAAUAUGAUGACUUUGAAGAAUAAACCUUAUAAUACCAAUAGUUAUAGCAUACAUUUUUCAUAAUCUUCAAAAUACUUCAAGUUUACCAGCCUCCUUACUCAGUAAAUGAGAAAUAAUACCAAAACCUACAGGCAAUAUUGAUACGUGUACUUCUGGAUGUCCAAAAAUUAAAAUAAAUAUUGGUAUAAAACAAGAUCACCUGCACUCAGUGGAACGUAUUUCGUUAUUAUGGUCUGGGAAACUACGACUAGUAUGAUUUUUUUAUAGAUAGGUAACUAUUCGCACUCCACGGUAGGUAUGUUGUCUAUGCGGCAAAAUUGAAGGCAAACUUUAAACGAACCUUAGGCUCCGAUACGUUUACAGUAUCGUUCAUAGGUUCAAGUAAGCCUUUAAAGCUGUACAAACAUUUGCACUCCAGGUAAAUAUACAAGCCUUUUAGUAAGUAGUCGUUUAUCCGGUGAAAAGGAAGGUUCAAAUAUCAAGUCAUGGUGGGUAUCUCCCGGCAUAGUUUCACGCCUUAUCUAUAGAUUCUGCCGAAAAUGGAGCGCAAUAAAUGUGUGCUUUGCGAGUAUUCUAGAUAACAAUUCGCAAUUCGAUGGUUUGUUGCCUACAAUUCAAAUUGGAAGGCGAACCUCAAAUGGAAAGCUUCCGUUAUUACUGCGGAUUGUCUCUUGAGAUAAUAGAGCACACUUGCACUGGUGAGGAAAGGCCCAUUCCUGAAAAUUGGAGGGUUUAUUUUUGAGUAAGUACUAAAACCCUAAAAAUUAAACUUACUUCAUUCAUUCUCCUCCGGGAUACUUAUUUUCUUAAAACGAGAACCCGGUGAAAGUGUUUGCAUGCAGGAAUAUGUUCGGAUCCUUCACUUUUUUACUUACUUAUCUCAUUUAAAUUUUGGCAUCAAUUUCGUCGCAUAGGUGACAAAUCUACCGGGCAGCAAAAAUGUUAAUCAAAAUAAAAUGUAGGAAAAUGUUCACCAGAACACGCAUUUUUGAAUAAUCAAUUGUUUAUUUUCAUGUGACUUUCUUGAAUGCAUUUCGGCAUCAUUACGUUACAUCAUUACACGGCAUAUUAACAUUUUUGAUUCUUUUAAUAUGCAUUGUGAUACUUUCUUCGUUAAAGUUCUCAGUUUUGUGUUUCGUGAAUAUUGUUCUUGCUAAAGAUGGCAUCCAAUGAUACCGAAAUGCAUCCAAGACAGUAAAGUAAAAAAAAAACAAUUAAGUAUUCAAAAAUGCGUGUUCUGGUAAGCAUUUUCCUUCGUGUUAUUUUAAUUUGAAUAACAACACGCGAAAUGCGAUUGUCUCGUUAAAAAUUUUAAGCUGUCCAAAAAGCGUACACAUUUCUUAACAUUCUCAAAAUUCCGGAUGAGGGUCAUGCUCUAUCAGCUAUAUUUCGUGCGAAACUGUUGCAUAGAUAUUAGCAUUGAAUGGUUGCACCGGAAAAGAUGCAUUAGGCAAAACUGCGGUUGAUCCAACUUAAUUUUAACACAGACUCGUGGCUUAAGGAGGAUUGCAUAACUCAUCCAUCAUUCUGUUGGUAACUGAUAAAAUUUUAAGGUCAUCACCGAAAGAAUGGAAAAUGUUUAUCGAAAUUUUAAACGGAUAUUGGAAAAAAUGGAAGGAAAAAGUCUGAAAACCUUCAGAGAUAGAAUAAUUUUAUAGAGCCCACUUGGUUUUGUGUGCAAACAAUAGUUUAAGCGUACCUACCUGUCGUCAACUCGGUGAGGAAUUGAUAUUUUUCUUUCUUUUUUUCAAAUUUACCAGAAUUAAUAAUGCUUUUUUUAACAAUAUAGGUCUUAUUCUUUUUCAACUUUCAACUCAUUCAUAAAAUAGGUCUUUCUUUUUCAACUUUUAAGGUAUGCCAUGAAAAAUUUUCUGAUAGUUAGAGGACCGUUUUGAUUCUGAGAAUGCCAAUUCAGGGGCUUGGAGGACAAGGCGAAUAAGUGCAGUUCUUGCUAUUUCGAGAAAUACGUGUUUGAAGUUUUAAAUUACAUGGAUCCUCAUGGCUGAGAGAAAGUUUAAACUGACUUUUUGAUACUUGAAAAUUUGGGAGCGAAUUUUUCACAGAAUAUGCAUUAAGUAAGACUAGUUUUACUUGGAAUUAUUUAUACCUCAAUUUUUCAAAAUCUGCACGUAUGCGCCUUGUUCUCCAAGCUCCUCAAUUAUUAUCUCCCCGACUCUGGUAAAUAAAAUAAAUCUUAUUUAUUCUUGUUCAUAACACCAAUACUGUACUCGUGACUACUUUUAUACAUAUUCAAAUAUUCAAUACACCACAGA